GAUAAACGCUGGCGGCGCACAUAAGACAUGCAAGUCGAACGGACUUAACCAUUAGUUUACUAUUGGAGCGGUUAGUGGCGGACUGGUGAGUAACACGUAAGCAAUCUGCCUAUCAGAGGGGAACAACAGUUAGAAAUGACUGCUAAUACCGCAUAUGCCUAAGUACCACAUGGUACAAUAGGGAAAGGAGCAAUCCGCUGAUAGAUGAGCUUGCGUCUGAUUAGAUAGUUGGUGGGGUAACGGCCUACCAAGUCUACGAUCAGUAGCCGGACUGAGAGGUUGAACGGCCACAUUGGGACUGAGAUACGGCCCAGACUCCUACGGGAGGCAGCAGUCGGGAAUAUUGCGCAAUGGAGGAAACUCUGACGCAGUGACGCCGCGUAUAGGAAGAAGGUUUUCGGAUUGUAAACUAUUGUCGUUAGGGAAGAUACAAGACAGUACCUAAGGAGGAAGCCCCGGCUAACCUAUAGUG
rnacentral:rRNA from 1 species